rnacentral:rRNA from 1 species
GAGUACGGCCGCAAGGCUGAAACUUAAAGGAAUUGGCGGGGGAGCACUACAACGGGUGGAGCCUGCGGUUUAAUUGGACUCAACGCCGGAAAACUCACCGGGGGCGACAGCAAUAUGUAGGUCAGGUUAAAGGUCUUACCUGAAUCGCUGAGAGGAGGUGCAUGGCCGUCGUCAGUUCGUACUGUGAAGCAUCCUGUUAAGUCAGGCAACGAGCAAGACCCGUGCCCACUGUUACCAGCAUAUCCUUUAUGGAUGAUGGGGACUCUGUGGGGACCGCUGCUGCUAAAGCAGAGGAAGGUGCGGGCUACGGUAGGUCAGUAUGCCCCGAAUCUCCCGGGCUACACGCGGGCUACAAUGGUUGGGACAAUGGGUAUCUACUCCGAAAGGAGUUGGCAAUCUCUUAAACCCAAUCGUAGUUCGAAUUGAGGGCUGUAACUCGCCCUCAUGAAGCUGGAAUCCGUAGUAAUCGCGUCUCGACAUAGCGCGGUGAAUCUGUCCCUGCUCCUUGCACACACCGCCCGUCAAACCAUCCGAGUGAGGUAUGGGUGAGGGCACGAACUUAGUGUCGUGCUCGAACCUAAAUUUCGCAAGGAGGGUUAAGUCGUAACAAGGUAGCCGUAGGGGAAUCUGCGGCUGGAUCACCUCCU